rnacentral:rRNA from 1 species
AGCGAACGCUGGCGGCAGGCCUAACACAUGCAAGUCGAACGAAGUCUUCGGACUUAGUGGCGGACGGGUGAGUAGCACGUGGGAACGUGCCUUUAGGUUCGGAAUAACUCAGGGAAACUUGUGCUAAUACCGAAUGUGCCCUUCGGGGGAAAGAUUUAUCGCCUUUAGAGCGGCCCGCGUCUGAUUAGCUAGUUGGUGGGGUAAUGGCCCACCAAGGCUACGAUCAGUAGCUGGUCUGAGAGGAUGACCAGCCACAUUGGGACUGAGACACGGCCCAAACUCCUACGGGAGGCAGCAGUGGGGAUUCUUGCGCAAUGGGCGAAAGCCUGACGCAGCCAUGCCGCGUGGAUGACGAAGGUCUUAGGAUUGUAAAAUCCUUUCACCGGUGAAGAUAAUGACUGUAGCCGGAGAAGAAGCCCCGGCUAACUUCGUGCCAGCCGCCGCAGUAACAC